rnacentral:rRNA from 1 species
UAGGGAAUCUUCGGCAAUGGGGGCAACCCUGACCGAGCAACGCCGCGUGAGUGAAGAAGGUUUUCGGAUCGUAAAGCUCUGUUGUAAGAGAAGAACGUGUGUGAGAGUGGAAAGUUCACACAGUGACGGUAACUUACCAGAAAGGGACGGCUAACUACGUGCCAGCAGCCGCGGUAAUACGUAGGUCCCGAGCGUUGUCCGGAUUUAUUGGGCGUAAAGCGAGCGCAGGCGGUUUAAUAAGUCUGAAGUUAAAGGCAGUGGCUUAACCAUUGUUCGCUUUGGAAACUGUUAAACUUGAGUGCAGAAGGGGAGAGUGGAAUUCCAUGUGUAGCGGUGAAAUGCGUAGAUAUAUGGAGGAACACCGGUGGCGAAAGCGGAUCUCUGGUCUGUAACUGACGCUGAGGCUCGAAAGCGUGGGGAGCAAACAGG